rnacentral:tRNA from 1 species
ACCUCAGUAGCUCAACGGUAGAGCAAUCGGCUGUUAACCGAUAGGUUGCAGGUUCGAAUCCUGCCUGGGGUGCCA